rnacentral:rRNA from 1 species
GAUGAACGCUGGCGGCGUGCUUAACACAUGCAAGUCGAACGGGCGUGCCUUCUUUUUUGGGGGUGGGUUGUGGGGCGAACGGGUGAGUAUCACGUUAGUAACCUGCCCUCUGGUCCUGGGUAACCGCCUGAAAGGGCGGCUAACACGGGGCGGUUCGGUUGUACCGCAUGGGUCGGUCGGGAUAGAUUCACUGUUUGUGGUGUUUCGGCGGGGGCUGGGUUGGUGGCGUAUCAGCUAGUGGGCGGGCUGAUGGCCUACCCAGGCAAUGACGGGUAGCCGGUCUGAGAGGAUGAGCGGCCACACGGGAACGGAGACGCGGUCCAGACUCCUACGGGAGGCAGCGGUGGGGAAGGGGGGACAAUGGGCGGAAGCCUGACCUAGCGAUGCGGCGUGGGUGAAGAAGGGGUUGGGUUCGUAAAGCGCUCCUGUGUGGAAAGAAGAGAAGGACGUGUACGUGUGGUGGGUUUGACGGUACCCAAAGAAGAAGCACCGGCUAACUACGUG